rnacentral:lncRNA from 1 species
AGACCCUGUACGUGCGAAGAGUGUGGCAAGGCCUUUGGACAGAGAAGUCACCUUGUUCAGCACACCAGUGAGAAGCUGUAUGCAUGCCAGGAAUGUGGGUGUACCUUCAGCAACAAUUCAUCUCUAGUCAAGCACUGGCACGUCCACACAGGCGAGAAGCCCUACAUGUGUGGCCACUGUGGCAAGUGCUUCCGAGAGAGCUCAUCCCUUGCCAAGCACCAGCGUGUGCACACAGGUGAGAAGCCAUACGUGUGUGGUGAGUGUGGACGCACCUUCAGCGAGAGCACACACCUUGUACAGCACUGGUGAUUCCACACCGGGGAAAAGCCAUUUGCCUGCCAAGAGCAGCAAAGCCUUUGCUGACUUCUCGGCCCUCCUUGCAUGCCACGGAACCUACACGGGUGAGAGGCCCUACGAGUGCCGGGUAUGCUGCAAGGCAUUCAGCCCCAGCUUGUCCCUGGCUGAGCACAUACGCUGCCACACGGGAGAGAAGCUGUAUGCGUGUCAGGAAUGUGGGAAAGCUUUCAGCCACAGCUCAUCCCUCAGCAAGCACCAGCAGGUACACACAGGUGAGUGGCCCUAUGUGUGUGCAGAAUGUGGAAAGGCCUUCAGCCAGGGGUCCUACCUGACCCAGCACCUCAAGAUCCACAGCGGUGAGAAGCCGUACAUACGUGGUGAGUAAAGGAAGCCAUUCGGUGACUCCUCAGCCCUGGUCCUACACCAGCGGGUGCACACAGGCGAGCAUCCUUAUGCAUGUGGAAAAUGUGGGAAGACUUUCAGCCACAGCAAGUUUCUCACCCAGCAUGAGCAAGUCCGCAUGGGAGAGAAGCCCUUCAUGUGUGGUGACUGUGGAAGAGCCUUCAUGCAAACCUCAUCCCUCGCCCUCCAUCAGAGGACUCACAAUGGGGAGAAGCCCUACAAGUGGAAUGAGUGUGGCAAGUCCUGCAUCCAGAUGUCACACCUCACCGAGUAUUACCAGGUACACGCUGGGGAACGACCCUUUCAGCCGUGGCACACACCUCACGCAGCACCAGCAUGUGCAUGCAUGUACCAAGCCAUUCAUAUGCCAUAUAUGUCAGAAAACCUUCCAGGAGGCCACAACUCUUGUACUACAUGAGAGGAUUCCCUGGAGAGAAGCCCUUUUGAGUGUUGUGAGUGUGGCAAAGCCUUCCGCCAAAGCAGAUUCCUGGCCCAGCACCAGAGAAUUCAUUCC